GACGAACGCUGGCGGCGUGCUUAACACAUGCCAGUCGAACGGAAAGACCCUGCUUUUGUGGGGUGCUCGAGUGGCGAACGGGUGAGUAACACGUGAGUAACCUGCCCUUGACUUUGGGAUAACUUCAGGAAACUGGGGCUAAUACCGGAUAGGAGCUCCUGCUGCAUGGUGGGGGUUGGAAAGUUUCGGCGGUUGGGGAUGGACUCGCGGCUUAUCAGCUUGUUGGUGGGGUAGUGGCUUACCAAGGCUUUGACGGGUAGCCGGCCUGAGAGGGUGACCGGCCACAUUGGGACUGAGAUACGGCGCAGACUCCUACGGGAGGCAGCAGUGGGGAAUAUUGCACAAUGGGCGGAAGCCUGAUGCAGCAACGCCGCGUGCGGGAUGACGGCCUUCGGGUUGUAAACCGCUUUCGCCUGUGACGAAGCGUGAGUGACGGUAAUGGGUAAAGAAGCACCGGCUAACUACGUG
rnacentral:rRNA from 1 species